GAUGAACGCUGGCGGCGUGCCUAAUACAUGCAAGUCGAGCGAACGGACGAGAAGCUUGCUUCUCUGAUGUUAGCGGCGGACGGGUGAGUAACACGUGGAUAACCUACCUAUAAGACUGGGAUAACUUCGGGAAACCUGAUCUAAUACCGGAUAAUAUUUUGAACCGCAUGGUUCAAAAGAGAAAGACGGUCUUGCUGUCACUUAUAGAUGGAUCCGCGCUGCAUUAGCUAGUUGGUAAGGUAACGGCUUACCAAGGCAACGAUGCAUAGCCGACCUGAGAGGGUGAUCGGCCACACUGGAACUGAGACACGGUCCAGACUCCUACGGGAGGCAGCAGUAGGGAAUCUUCCGCAAUGGGCGAAAGCCUGACGGAGCAACGCCGCGUGAGUGAUGAAGGUCUUCGGAUCGUAAAGCUCUGUUAUUAGGGAGGAACAUAUGUGUAAGUAACUGUGCACAUCUUGACGGUACCUACUCAGAAAGCCACGGCUAACUACGUG
rnacentral:rRNA from 1 species